AUUGAACGCUGGCGGCAGGCCUAACACAUGCACGUCGAGCGAGCGGCGGACGGGUGAGUACUGUCUGGGAAACUGCCUGAUGGAGGGGGAUAACUACUGGAAACGGUAGCUACUACCGCAUACCAUCAGAUGUGCCCAGAUGAGAUUAGCUAGUAGGUGGGGUAAUGGCUCACCUAGGCGACGCUCCCUAGCUGGUCUGAGAGGAUGACCAGCCAAACUGGAACUGAGACACGGUCCAGAAUCCGACGGGAGGCAGCAGUGGGGAAUAUUGGACAAUGGGCGAAAGCCUGAUGCAGCCAUGCCGCGUGUGUGAAGAAGGCCUUCGGGUUGUAAAGCACUUUCAGCGGGGAGGCGUUACCCGCAGAAGAAGCACCGGCUAACUCCGGGCCAGCAGCCGCGGUAAUUC
rnacentral:rRNA from 1 species